rnacentral:misc_RNA from 1 species
UAACCUUGGUGACAUGGGAUACAAAACAUUGUCUAAAUACUAUCAAGAGCUCCUCCCUGAUGGGUCUAAUUCUCCAGUUUCAUCCAAUUCUGGCUGGAAAGUUGGUAGACUUGCAGGAUCGGACAUGUAUAAUGCAGGGAUGGUAGUUGUCAAGGAUUUUGUUUCUCGAGCUGUUAUAUCACAAUUUAAAGCUCAUACCAGUCCCAUAGCUGCACUGUGUUUUGACUGACCCUAGUGGGACCUUGCUUGUUACUGCUUCAAUUUAUGGAAAUAACAUAAAUAUUUUCCGUAUUAUGCCAUCCUGUUCACGGACUGGAUCAGGUGCA